UACAGAGGUCUCAAGCGUUGUUCGGAUUCAUUGGGCGUAAAGGGUGUGUAGGUGGCGCCGUAAGUCGGGUGUGAAAUUUCGGAGCUUAACUCCGAAACUGCAUUCGAUACUGCGGUGCUUGAGGACUGGAGAGGAGACUGGAAUUCAUGGUGUAGCAGUGAAAUGCGUAGAGAUCAGCAGGAAUACCCGUGGCGAAGGCGGCCCCCUGGGCCGUACCUGACGCUGAGGCGCGAAGGCUAGGGGAGCGAACGGGG
rnacentral:rRNA from 1 species